rnacentral:rRNA from 1 species
AUGCACGCUGACAGAAUGCUUAACACAUGCAAGUCGAUGGGGAAGUGGUGCUUGCACCAUGGUAACCAUGGCGGACGGGUGAGUAACACGUAAGGAACUUACCUGCGGGACCGGGAUAACAGCAGGAAACUGCUGACAAGACCGGAUAAGGUCAUUAAGCUGCAUAGCUUAGUGAUGAAAGGAGACGCCUGCGGAGAGCCUUGCGUCCUAUUAGCUAGUUGGAGGGGUAACGGCCCACCAAGGCGAAGAUAGGUAGCCGGCCUGAGAGGGUGGACGGCCACAAGGGGACUGAGAUACGGCCCUUACUCCUACGGGAGGCAGCAGUGGGGAAUAUUGGACAAUGGGGGCAACCCUGAUCCAGCAAUUCUGUGUGCACGAAGACGGUUUUCGGAUUGUAAAGUGCUUUCAGCAGGGAAGAAGGAAGUGACGGUACCUGCAGAAGAAGCGACGGCUAAAUACGUG